AGUGGGGAAUUUUGGACAAUGGGGGAAACCCUGAUCCAGCAAUGCCGCGUGUGUGAAGAAGGCCUUCGGGUUGUAAAGCACUUUUGGCAGGAACGAAACAGCGCGGGCUAAUACCUCGCGCGAAUGACGGUACCUGCAGAAUAAGCACCGGCUAACUACGUGCCAGCAGCCGCGGUAAUACGUAGGGUGCGAGCGUUAAUCGGAAUUACUGGGCGUAAAGCGUGCGCAGGCGGUUUUGCAAGACAGAUGUGAAAUCCCCGGGCUUAACCUGGGAACUGCAUUUGUGACUGCAAGGCUAGAGUGUGUCAGAGGGAGGUGGAAUUCCACGUGUAGCAGUGAAAUGCGUAGAGAUGUGGAGGAACACCGAUGGCGAAGGCAGCCUCCUGGGAUAACACUGACGCUCAAGCACGAAAGCGUGGGGAGCAAA
rnacentral:rRNA from 1 species